rnacentral:lncRNA from 1 species
AAAUGAAGCAGUUGGAAGCAAAGAAGCUGCUGCUUUGGGAUCCGCAAAUCAGAGGAUCAGGAAAUGUGAAACAACUUUCCUGACAGCUUCAGGGAGUGGCAUCCAGCCAGGAACUCGGCGGCUUGGCAGAGCUGGAGGAGGAUAGCACAGCCUGCAUUCACUGGAUGCCUGGUGUGAGGAAAGAACUGGCACAUGUCCUGAUUCAGCCAUCUGUGCUUCCUCUCCCCACCAAAGUGAAAAUGCAUUCAAACUAAAUUAUUUUGAAAACACAUUCUCUCCAUUCAAGUUCUACUUCAAGACCUCACAAUAGAGGGCACCUCCACGAUCUCAUUCCUGGCAGCACUUGAAUGGGGGCUGCUGAACAAUACACUCUCAGUACUUGCUCAGAAAGAAAGACAAGACUUGGGAUGAAAACAGGUGAAAGCUCUUCCGAGAUUUAGAGAGACAGGACCCGGUGCCGAAUUGCUUUCCAGGCGGUCAAGCCGCAUUGCUCAUUACGUGGAGUGAAUGGGAUGAUUCCAAACCAGCCCUGGACGAGGUGGCAAGUGAACAUGUGCUUUAAUUGCUGCUUAUUCAAUGUUUAAAUUACACGUUUUUAUAUUUAAGCCAGUGUUAAUUUAUUU